AUACCGCAUGCGUCCUACGGGAGAAAGCAGGGGACCUUCGGGCCUUGCGCUAUCAGAUGAGCCUAGGUCGGAUUAGCUAGUUGGUGAGGUAAUGGCUCACCAAGGCGACGAUCCGUAACUGGUCUGAGAGGAUGAUCAGUCACACUGGAACUGAGACACGGUCCAGACUCCUACGGGAGGCAGCAGUGGGGAAUAUUGGACAAUGGGCGAAAGCCUGAUCCAGACAGGCCGCGUGUGUGAAGAAGGUCUUCGGAU
rnacentral:rRNA from 1 species